GAAGAAGCCCAAAGCAAUAGGCUUCCUUAACCAAGGGGCUUUGGUCAGACCAUUAGGUUUCUCCAGUGUCGGCUUCAGUGUAGAGGACCUCAGAACUCCACUUACUUCUCACCAGAGCAAAGACAGGACACGCUCCGCUGACAGGACCAGCUGGGAUCGAGGCACAGAUGUGCUCCACUCAGGUGAUCGAAGAGGCAAAGGGUUCCACUGUAAUUACUGGCCUACAAUGUGGACCCAGCUGGGCUGACAUUUUAAUUUCUGUCUCUUUUGUGGCUUCCAUUAUCCUGGGGGCCAAGGCGUUCCAGUUCCCCCAAGACAUGGGAGUCUCUUGAUGUUUGGAUCUUCUUGGAGAAAGAAAAUGCAAAGUGACAGGUUUCGAAUAGACAGAAACAACAGUAGAGUUGUUGCAUCAACAGCACGUCCAGCACAACCACAGUCCUUCUGGGAUGGCCCCGGGUGGGGCAACACCACUUCCUUUAAUUCCCCAUCCACAACAUUUCCAAAGGUGUGGCAAAGAG
ensembl:lncRNA